rnacentral:lncRNA from 1 species
GUAUUUUUGAAAAUCAUUGACAGUAAAUUUUAAGGGUUCUCACCACACACACACAAAAUAAUAAAUAUAUGCACAUAUGGUAAUGCACAUAUUAAAAAACUCAAUUUAGCAAUUCCACAGUGUAUGCAUUUUUAAAACAUAAUGUUGCACAGAAUAAAUAUGUACCUUUUGUCAAUUAAAAAUAAAUUAAUUUUAAAAAUAAAAUAAAAACAAAAGUUACAAGUAAAAAAGAUUCUCUCAUUGUGAAUGAUGUUAGGCAGUUCAAUUAUAUUGUGUCAUCAUGUGGUUCUCUUUGGAUUUAUACUUGCUGAAUAUUCUAUUCCUAGUUACUUCAGUGUUUCUAUCAUGAAGAGAUAUUGAAUUUCUCACAUGUAUCUUUUGAAUUAGUUAAUAUGAUUAUGUAGUUGUUCUCAUCCAUUAUUCUAUUGAUGUGGAAUAUUACACUGAUUGAUUAUUUUCAUUUCUUGAACCUCUGUCGAAUCCUGGAAUAAAUCUCAGUUGGUCAUGGUAUAUAAUUCUUUUUACGAUUCUGCUAGAUUAUUUUCUAGUAUUUGUAGAGGAUUUUUCCACCUAUAUUCAUAAGGGAUGUUAGUGUGUAGUUUUAUAUUCUCAUGAUGUCUUUGUGUCUUCAUUUCUGGAAUGCAGUGAUUGAAGAAAUAUUUCUGUUGCUAGGAGAAAGGACCUUGAAACCUUGAAGUAUUCUGUGGUAUCCUGUGUGUACACAGUUCUUCUUCAAAGAGAACUUAGAGACAUUUACUUGGGUGACUUGACAUUAAAGGGAAGAGAUUGCCUAGAGCAGGGGGCAGCACACUGUGGACUGAGAACCAAAUCAAGCCAGGCAUCUGUUUUUGCAAAUAAAGUUUUAUUAGAAAACAGCAAUGUCCAUUCAUUUACACAUUGUCUAUGGCUGAUUUCAUGCUACAAUUGCAGAGUCCAUAAUUGCAACUAAGAUGUUAUGAUUUGCAAAACCUAAAGUACUCACCAAUUAACAUUUUAUAAAAUAUGUUUGCUGACCCUUGACAUUUGAGGACAGUUGGACAUGGGUCUAAGGUGACAUUGAUACCCAAAGAGCCAAAGCAUCAUCAUGGCCCCCUGAUAAAGUGGGAGCUUAUAGGGUUAUGUAAUAAUUAGUGUCCUGGGUGAAUUCAGUUAAAUUCUGCAGACCAACCCAGCAGUUCUCUUCCCAGUCCCUGAAUGGAUAAUUCGAUUAAUAUACUUGACCAUUGGGGUAGCUCCUGCAUUGGGCCCUUUGCCUGUCAAGUAAGAAGGACAUGUGAAACCACCUGAAACUGCCACCCAAGUCACCUACAUAGCAAAUCAAUAACAAUAUCGCAUGCUCAUAGGGGGCUGGAGUUGUGUUGAAGAGAUGAGUGUCAUUUUAAAAGUCCUUAAGCUUGUGGUGGGAUACGGAGUGGUGGGGGUUUUUAUCAUUUUCUUUUAACUCCUCAGUGCAGCCUCUUUAGUAGCAAGCUGUAUCCUGAAGGAGAACUGGAGAUUACCUCAACCAACCAAGUUGCCACUCUGAUGGCAGCUUCAGCUCCAGACACAGAGUUGUUUUUAGAAUUGAUUCCAACAGCCAAUUGGGCACAUGGUGCACAACCCUGAAUUGUUGGAUAUACUCUUCUCUUCUGAUCAGAACAGAAGUCUUAUUGGAAUUCAUGUGGAAAGGACAAUAGUUACUACUAGUCUUGCCCUAGAAUUAUGUUUACUCUACUUGGCCCUGUUAUAUAAGGGAACAAAGCCAUCUGGUGCAUCUGCAGAACACUAUGCUGAUCUACUUUGUCGAGACGUCAUGCUGAUUGGGUUGGAUAAGCAAGAAGCCAUGGAGGUCUUGGGAAGAUACAUGCACUCCAGAGGGUGGAUGCAGGAGCUAAACUCUGAGAAGAUUCAGGGACUUGUCACUUCAAUAAAGUUUUGAGGUGUUUAGAAGUCAGAGGAUUUGUAGAAUGUUUCUUACAGAGUUCAAGCAAAUUGUUGUUGCAUCUUGCAUCUCCUGCCACAAAGAAGGAAGUUGAUCACCUGGAUAGGUCCUUUGGGAUCUGGAGAUGACACCUUCUACAUCAGAUGACUUAGACCAUGGGCAGCUAGGAACAGGUCCUUGGGACAGGAAAGGGCUCUGCAGUAGGUUCACUCUGUAGUGGAUGCUUCCCUGCCACGUGGUCUGUGAAACCUACACUCCCCAUGGGGGUGUCAGUAGUAAGUGCACAUGCAAUGGGAGAAUCACAACACAGGCUCUUGGAAGAGAUGCAGUCCAUGCCAUCUGCAGCUGAAAAAUCCGCCCCCCCUUGGGACAUACUACCUGGCAUAGUACUGGACCCAGACUGGGCUGGCCUGUGGCUUGCUUUAU